CUCCGGUGCCUACUGAGCUGAUAACAGUUCUGAUUUUACACACUGGCUCAGUUCAGCAGGAACAGGAG
rnacentral:pre_miRNA from 15 species